CAAAAGGUAGUUUAUUUAAAAUGCUGGUUUUGGGGGCCAGAGAAGGGGGGUUUAACUCUCUCUUUUGA
rnacentral:tRNA from 1 species